rnacentral:lncRNA from 1 species
CUUUUCUCUUCUUCUUCUUCUUCGUCCCUCUUGUGGAGUAUGUAUGCUCGUUUUUCACUUUGCAGCGUAUAUUUUUUUCAAUUGUGUGAGAUUAUUUUUGUAACGAUCCAUUCUUUUGAAUUAUUUGAAUCUUGUUUUUAGUACGCUCCUCACUCGUUUUUCUUCCCUAUGUGGGUGUCUAUUGAAUCGAGUAUACACUGUCAGCACUUUGCAAACGAUUUUUUUUUUCCAGUGAGAUUAUUUUUUAUUGUAUAGCUAGUACUUUAUCUAACUCAUGUUUAGCUUAGAUGAAAGUUAAUUUUCAGUAUAUUUUGACAAAAGAUGAUUAAAUGUCCGUUUUAAAAGUUUUGGAUCCCAUGAAUUAUGUAUUUUAGAAUAAAUCGUUGACCUGGACUUAAGUUUUAAGGAACUAUUGUAGCUUAAUCAAAGAGGGACCUAGUACGUUUCUCUUGUAGAAAGCAAAUUCAAAUUUACUCAAAUAUAUGAUGUGUACAAUUUUCAUAAAUAGGGUGGCGAAAAUACUUCAACUUAUAGUUUUUUGUGCAAUUUUUAAGUUUAAUUAUUAAAGAUGUCACAUAUAUUUAUUUAAAUCUUGUUCCGAGCAUUAUUUUAAAGGUUUGCUGAUUGUAGGGUUUGUCGAUGGAAGAAAAGGCAAGAUUGGGUUCAAUGCCACCUAGUUGUCACAACAAAUGCAACCAAUGCCACCCGUGCAUGGCGGUGCAAGUGCCACCACUGCCGAGUCACAACCGAGUACUGCCGAGUCAAACUGAAGCAACUCCAUCAUCAGAUGAGAACGAUAGGUAUUCAAAUUACAAGCCACUUGGAUGGAAGUGUAGAUGUAAUGGACACUUUUACAACCCUUAAUUUGCAUUUGAAUUUCAAUUUUCAAAUUAAUUUUUAUGGAAAUUCAUAAAUUAAGCAUUUUUUUUUAAUUUUACUUAUUUUCUAGAGUAGCAUAUGGUUGUUGGAUUUUGGAAUUUUUGUAGAGACAAGACAUAUUAAAUGGGG